UACGAAGGGGGCUAGCGUUGUUCGGAAUUACUGGGCGUAAAGCGCGCGCAGGCGGUUUUUCAAGUCAGUGGUGAAAGCCCGGAGCUCAACUCCAGAACUGCCUUCGAUACUGGAAAGCUCGAGUCCGGGAGAGGUGAGUGGAACUGCGAGUGUAGAGGUGAAAUUCGUAGAUAUUCGCAAGAACACCAGUGGCGAAGGCGGCUCACUGGCCCGGUACUGACGCUGAGGUGCGAAAGCGUGGGGAGCAAACAGG
rnacentral:rRNA from 1 species